GCACUGCUGAGGAGUCCCACAAUAGGACGAAACGACCCUUCAGUGC
rnacentral:hammerhead_ribozyme from 1 species